UGUUGGGUUAAGUCCCGCAACGAGCGCAACCCUCAUUUUUAGUUGCCUUAUGGAACUCUAGAAAGACUGCCGGUUAUAAACCGGAGGAAGGCGGGGAUGACGUCAAGUCAGCAUGCUCCUUAUACCCUGGGCUACACACGUGCUACAAUGGGCGAGACAAUGAGAUGCAAAUCUGCGAAGACUAGCUAAUCUAAAAACUCGUUCUAAGUUCGGAUUGUAGGCUGCAACUCGCCUGCAUGAAGUUGGAAUCGCUAGUAAUCGCUGGUCAGCUACACAGCGGUGAAUUCGUUCCCGGGCCUU
rnacentral:rRNA from 1 species